GACGAACGCUGGCGGCGUGCUUAACACAUGCAAGUCGAACGGAAAGGCCCUGCUUUUGUUGUGUUCUCGAGUGGCGAACGGGUGAGUAACACUUGAGUAACCUGCCCUUUACUUUGUUAUAACUUCAGGAAACUGGGGCUAAUACCGGAUAGGAUCUCCUGCUGCAUGUUGGGGGUUGGAAAGUUUCGGCGGUUGGGGAUGGACUCGCGGCUUAUCAGCUUGUUGGUGGGGUAGUGGCUUACCAAGGCUUUGACGGGUAGCCGGCCUGAGAGGGUGAACGGCCACAUUGGGACUGAGAUACGGCCCAGACUGCUACGGGAGGCAGCAGUGGGGAAUAUUGCACAAUGGGCGGAAGCCUGAUGAAGCAAAGCCGCGGGCGGGAUGACGGCCUUCGGGUUGUAAACCGAUUUCGCCUGUGACGAAGCGUGAGUGACGGUAAUGGGUAAAGAAGCACCGGCUAACUACGUG
rnacentral:rRNA from 1 species